UACGUAGGGGGCUAGCGUUGUCCGGAAUCAUUGGGCGUAAAGAGCGUGUAGGCGGCUUUACAGGUCCGUUGUGAAAACUCGAGGCUCAACCUCGAGACGCCGGUGGAAACCGUAAGGCUAGAGUCCGGAAGAGGAGAGUGGAAUUCCUGGUGUAGCGGUGAAAUGCGCAGAUAUCUGGAGGAACACCGGUGGCGAAGGCGGCAUCCUGGACCAACACUGACGCUGAGUGAGCGAAAGCCAGGGGAGCAAACGGG
rnacentral:rRNA from 1 species